rnacentral:rRNA from 1 species
GACAGAGGGUGCAAACGUUGCUCGGAAUUACUGGGCGUAAAGGGCGUGUAGGCGGGAAGGCAAGUCGGGCGUGAAAGCCCCAGGCUCAACCUGGGAACUGCACUCGAAACUGCCUUUCUUGAGUGCCGGAGAGGAAAGCGGAAUCCUGGUGUAGAGGUGAAAUUCGUAGAUAUCAGGAGGAACACCGGUGGCGAAGGCGGGUCUCUGGGCCGAAACUGACGCUGAGGAGCGAAAGCGUGGGGAGCGAACAGG